UACGGAGGGGGCAAGCGUUGUUCGGAAUUACUGGGCGUAAAGGGCGCGCAGGCGGCUGCUCAAGUCAGGCGUGAAAGGCCUGGGCUCAACCCGGGAAUUGCGCUUGAGACUGGGCUGGCUUGAGUGCGGGAGAGGAUGGUGGAAUUCCCAGUGUAGAGGUGAAAUUCGUAGAUAUCGGGAGGAACACCGGUGGCGAAGGCGGCGACCUGGGUCGAGACUGACGCUGAGGCGCGAAAGCGUGGGGAGCAAACAGG
rnacentral:rRNA from 1 species